AUUGAACGCUGGCGGCAUGCCUUACACAUGCAAGUCGAACGGUAACGCGGGGCAACCUGGCGACGAGUGGCGAACGGGUGAGUAAAGCAUCGGAACGUGCCCAGUAGUGGGGGAUAGCCCAGCGAAAGCCGGAUUAAUACCGCAUACGACCUAUGGGUGAAAGGGGGGGAUCGCAAGACCUCUCGCUAUUGGAGCGGCCGAUGUCAGAUUAGGUAGUUGGUGGGGUAAAGGCCUACCAAGCCGACGAUCUGUAGCUGGUCUGAGAGGACGACCAGCCAAACUGGGACUGAGACACGGCCCAGACUCCUACGGGAGGCAGCAGUGUGGAAUUUUGGACAAUGGGCGCAAGCCUGAUCCAGCCAUGCCGCGUGCGGGAAGAAGGCCUUCGGGUUGUAAACCGCUUUUGUCAGGGAAGAAAUCCUUUGGGUUAAUACCUCGGGGGGAUGACGGUACCUGAAGAAUAAGCACCGGCUAACUACGUGCCAGCCGCCGCCGUAA
rnacentral:rRNA from 1 species